UACGUAGGUGGCAAGCGUUGUCCGGAUUUACUGGGCGUAAAGGGCGUGCAGGCGGUCUGUUAAGUCUAGGGUGAAAGCUCCCGGCUCAACUGGGAGAGGUCCUUGGAUACUGGCGGACUUGAGGGAUGCAGAGGAAAGUGGAAUUCCCGGUGUAGUGGUGAUAUGCGUAGAGAUGUGGAGGAACACCUGUGGCGAAGGCGCCUUGCUGGCCAAUUACUGACGCUGAGGCGCGAAAGCGUGGGGAGCAAACAGG
rnacentral:rRNA from 1 species